rnacentral:piRNA from 1 species
UAUUCGGAGCUAACAAAAACAAAC